CAGUAGCCGCGGGAAUACGAAGGGGGCUAGCGUUGCUCGGAAUGACUGGGCGUAAAGGGCGCGUAGGCGGUUCGUACAGUCAGAUGUGAAAUUCCUGGGCUUAACCUGGGGGCUGCAUUUGAUACGUGCGGGCUUGAGUGGGGAAGAGGGUCGUGGAAUUCCCAGUGUAGAGGUGAAGUUCGUAGAUAUUGGGAAGAACACCGGUGGCGAAGGCGGCGACCUGGUCCUUGACUGACGCUGAGGCGCGAAAGCGUGGGGAGCAAACAGGAUUAGAUACCCCUGUAGUCCCUGUCUCUUAUAC
rnacentral:rRNA from 1 species